rnacentral:rRNA from 1 species
CUAUAGAGUCGGGUUGCUUGUAAAUGCAGCUCUAAGUGGGUGGUAAACUCUAUCUAAAGCUAAAUAUAACCACGAGACCGAUAGCGAACAAGUACCAUGAGGGAAAGUUGAAAAGAACUUUGAAGAGAGAGUUCAAGAGUACGUGAAACCGUUUAGGGGUAAACGGGAGAAAUCUGAAUAUCUGAAGGAAGUGAUUCACGUAAAAUCUAUAUUGUAUUAUAUUUUAGAUUGAUGAUUAUUAUACUCCUUCCAUAUAACUUGUUAUAUGUGAAGGGUUUCNNUUAAUUUCACAAUUCUAAAAUAUAUAUAUUUAUAAUGNNNNNNNCCGCAUUUCUACCUUCCUUAUACAAAAACGUCGCGACCC